GCGAACACAAUGGAUGUUGACGCAAUGGCCGAAAGCCUACAGGCGAUCAUUGAGUGUGUACCGAAGAAAAUUACAAUAAUAGAGGGAGGAGAUGGAGAGCGAGAAAUAGCAGGAUUGAGAGGCGUAGAGAGCGCGUCAAUCUCCACCAACAGAAAACGCUAUUGUCGGCCGUAACAAACGCGGUGGCCAGCGCUAUUUUAAGGCAAACCAAUAGAGGAGGUUUGCCUUACCGUGGUCGGGGCAGGGGAAAAUAUUAAUUUUUAUUUUUUUGAAUUAUAUUUUUUUUUUAUAAAUAUAUUAUAAACAUUUGAUAUAAGUAUUGUUGUCUUAUUAAAAAACUAUAAAAUAUAUGAAUAGAUUGGAUAUUCUGUGUACUGGAUUGCCUGUAUAAUACUAAAAGUGAAUGUGAUCUUUUGAGAAAAGUGUAAAAGGGUUUUUUUAAUGUAUAUCAUAAUAUGCUAACAGAUGGCCAUAGACUAGGGUAUAUUUGUGUUAUACUUGUAUGUCGCUCAUUAAAUCAAACUAAAAAUAGAAAUAUAUG